UACGUAGGGUGCAAGCGUUAAUCGGAAUUACUGGGCGUAAAGCGUGCGCAGGCGGUUGUGCAAGACAGAUGUGAAAUCCCCGGGCUCAACCUGGGAAUUGCAUUUGUGACUGCACGGCUAGAGUGUGUCAGAGGGGGGGUAGAAUUCCACGUGUAGCAGUGAAAUGCGUAGAUAUGUGGAGGAAUACCGAUGGCGAAGGCAGCCCCCUGGGAUAACACUGACGCUCAUGCACGAAAGCGUGGGGAGCAAACAGG
rnacentral:rRNA from 1 species